UGGGGAAUUUUCCGCAAUGGUCGAAAGCCUGACGGAGCAAUACCGCGUGAGGGAGGAAGGCUUUUGGGUUGUAAAACUCUUUUCUCUGGGAAGAAGGUCGGACGGUACCAGAGGAAUCAGCAUCGGCUUACUCCGUGCCAGCAGCCGCGGUAAGACGGAGGAUGCAAGCGUUAUCCGGAAUUAUUGGGCGUAAAGCGUCCGUAGGCGGUUAUACAAGUCUGCUGUUAAAGACUACAGCUCAACUGUGGGAUGGCGGUGGAAACUGUGUGACUAGAGUUCGGUAGGGGUAGAGGGAAUUCCCAGUGUAGCGGUGAAAUGCGUAGAUAUUGGGAAGAACACCAGUGGCGAAGGCGCUCUACUGGGCCGAGACUGACGCUGAUGGACGAAAGCUAGGGGAGCGAAAGGGAUUAGAUACCCCGGUAGUCC
rnacentral:rRNA from 1 species